GAAACACCAGAGUGCAAAUCUGGAGAAGCACCCAGAAGGUGCCGGGGCUU
rnacentral:tRNA from 1 species